GACGAACGCUGGCGGCGUGCUUAACACAUGCAAGUCGAACGGAAAGGCCCUGCUUUUGUGGGGUGCUCGAGUGGCGAACGGGUGAGUAACACGUGAGUAACCUGCCCUUGACUUUGGGAUAACUUCAGGAAACUGGGGCUAAUACCGGAUAGGAGCUCCCGCUGCAUGGUGGGGGUUGGAAAGUUUCGGCGGUUGGGGAUGGACUCGCGGCUUAUCAGCUUGUUGGUGGGGUAGUGGCUUACCAAGGCCUUGACGGGUAGCCGGCCUGAGAGGGUGACCGGCCACAUUGGUACUAAGAUACGGCCCAGACUCCUACGGGAGGCAGCAGUGGGGAAUAUUGCACAGUGGGCGGAAGCCUGAUGCAGCAACGCCGCGUGCGGGAUGACGGCCUUCGGGUUGUAAACCGCUUUCGCCUGUGACGAAGCGUGAGUGACGGUAAUGGGUAAAGAAGCACCGGCUAACUACGUG
rnacentral:rRNA from 1 species